GUAGGUGAACCUGCGGAGGGAUCAUUAAAACGUAUCCACGUAUAAACCUUUGUGAACUCGUUUACUAUAACCCGAAUCUCAGUGAUGGCGCGCCAGACUGUAGAAGCAAUCAGGAGUUAGCUUUUUUACAGUUAGUCAUCAUCUGUGGGUCUCCUAUUUUUUUAUUUUUAACCUUAUGUACCAUUUAAUUGUACUAACGAGUUCAGCGCUAACGCGCUUUACUUGAAAAAAUAAGAAAUUAACGCACAAC
rnacentral:misc_RNA from 1 species